GAGUUGCGGGCAAAAUUACCGACGGAACACAGGAAUCAAUCCCGCUUCGAACAAUACACGAUUCUUACAUAAUUCCCGACCGCCGUCGGCCGGCACGCGAU